UACGUAGGGGGCAAGCGUUGUCCGGAAUCAUUGGGCGUAAAGAGCGCGUAGGCGGUCCGGUAAGUCGGUUGUGAAAACUGGGGGCUCAACCCUCAGAGGCCGACCGAUACUGUCGGGCUAGAGUCCGGAAGAGGCGAGUGGAAUUCCUGGUGUAGCGGUGAAAUGCGCAGAUAUCAGGAGGAACACCAAUGGCGAAGGCAGCUCGCUGGGACGGUACUGACGCUGAGGCGCGAAAGCGUGGGAGCAAACAGG
rnacentral:rRNA from 1 species